GACGAACGCUGGCGGCGUGCUUAACACAUGCAAGUCACGGGGGCCCGCAAGGGCAACCGGCGAACGGGUGCGUAACACGUGAACAACCUGCCCUCGUGUGGGGGGAUAGCCAUGCUAACGCGUGGGUAAUACCGCAUACGGUCCUUUGGGGGAGUCCCUGGGGGAAGAAAGCUCCGGCGCACGGGGAGGGGUUCGCGGCCUAUCAGCUAGUUGGGGGG
rnacentral:rRNA from 1 species